AGCUCCAGCAGCGUAUAUUAAAGUUGUUGCAGUUAAAAAGCUCGUAGUUGGAUCUCGGACUGUCGGCGGCGGUACGGGCGCUUCGCCCGACAACUGCCGCCCGGCGUUCAAUCGGCGGGACGCAGCGGGUGCCCUUAGCUGGGUCGCUCGCCGCACCUGCCCCGUUUACUUUGGAAAAAUUAGAGUGUUCAAAGCAGGCUGUCACGCCUGAAUACAGUUGCAUGGAAUAAUGGAAUAGGGCCACGCUCUAUUUUGUUGGUUCACGGAGCUCGGCAAUGAUUGAGAGGGACUGCCGGGGGCAUUCGUAUGGCGGCGCGAGAGGUGAAAUUCUAAGACCGUCGCCAGACGAACUACUGCGAAAGCAUUUGCCAAGAAUGUUUUCAUUAAUCAAGAACGAAAG
rnacentral:rRNA from 1 species